rnacentral:rRNA from 1 species
UAAAAAUUUAAAUUAUAAAUACUAAAAUAGUAAAUAAUUAUUUAUUAAAACUUAAAUAUUUUGGCGGUAUUUUAGUUUAUUUAGAGGAAUCUGUUUAUUAAUUGAUAAUCCACGAAUAAAUUUACUUAAUUUAUUAUUUUGUAUAUCAUUGUUAAAUAAAUAUUUUUUAAUAAUUAAUAAUAUUUUAAAAUUAUGAAUAAAAAUUAAAUCAAAUCAAGAUGCAGAUUAUAAUUAAGAAUAUAAUGGAUUACAAUAAUUUUAUUUAAAUGAAUUUUAAUUUGUAAUAAUUAAAUGAAGGUGGAUUUAAAUGUAAUUUUAUUUAUUUUAAUAAUUUGAUUAAAAAUUAAAAUAUGUAC